UAGCUUAGUCGGUAGAGUGCAAGACUUUUAACCAUGAAGUUGUGGGUUCGAGCCCCAU
rnacentral:tRNA from 1 species